AAAAAAAAUUGUAACUGUCAAAACACCUCAUUACUCAUUUUCUGGACAUCAACUAUCCAGCUACACAGACUAUCAACACAGUUUCAACAGGUUCUUUUUUGUGUGACAAGCUCUGUUCGGUUAAGGAUACUCUCUUCUCCACUAAGUAAUAGAGAUGCAUCAUAUUCACAACCUCAUCAUCUGCAGAGAAACUGCCACUCAAUCACACCACAUUGAUGGGCUUAAAGGCAUCACAGAGGAUCCUGAAGAUAUAUUAUUCCUGGAAAUUUUGUCAUUUAUUUUCUAUUUCUAUUUUUACUUUCUGAUGUUUUUUUUUUCAUGUUCAUUGUCAACUGUCAUUUAUUAUUUGUAUUUAGCCAAUAACUGUUUUUAGAGCAUUUUCAUUUUUGCUUCAAGUUCAUGUCAAUUAAAAAAAUAAAAGUACCUAACUGAAACUACAUGCUGUUUUGUUUAGUUUUUGUGUGAGUGUGUAAAACCCUAAUACAGGCUAAAAUACAUUAUAGGAAAAACAAAAAUGUUAAUAGAUAAUAUAUGUAAAUAAUAUUAAUAAGUAAAACUAGUA